rnacentral:misc_RNA from 1 species
GAAAUGCGAAACGUAGUGUGAAUUGCAGAUUCCGUGAAUCAUCGAGUUUUUGAACGCACAUUGCGCUUGUUGGACAUCCGACAAGCAUGUCUGUAUGAGGGUGGCAUCCAACUCGGCAGAAUAUGUCGGUGUUGAUUCAUGAAGAUCCGUGAGGAUCUUCUGAAUUGGAAUGCAAAUAGCGUGGAUAAGGUUGCUGUCCAGUGUGAUAGAAAUGUCGCUGGAAGAACAGUCUCCAACGUCCAUUGCAAAUUAAUAUUAAUUACCACCACCUCAUAUCAGAUAGGAUUACCCGCUGAACUUAA